UUUCAUAUCAAAAAAGCGGAGGAAAAGAAACUAACAAGGAUUCCCCUAGUAGCGGCGAGCGAAGCGGGAAGAGCUCAAAUUUAUAAUCUGGCACCUUCGGUGUCCGAGUUGUAAUCUCUAGAAAUGUUUUCCGCGUUGGACCGCACACAAGUCUGUUGGAAUACAGCGGCAUAGUGGUGAGACCCCCGUAUAUGGUGCGGACGCCCAGCGCUUUGUGAUACAUUUUCGAAGAGUCGAGUUGUUUGGGAAUGCAGCUCAAAUUGGGUGGUAAAUUCCAUCUAAAGCUAAAUAUUGGCGAGAGACCGAUAGCGAACAAGUACCGUGAGGGAAAGAUGAAAAGCACUUUGGAAAGAGAGUUAACAGUACGUGAAAUUGUUGGAAGGGAAACGCUUGAAGUCAGACUUGCUUGCCGAGCAAUCGGUUUGCAGGCCAGCAUCAGUUUUCCGGGAUGGAUAAUGGUAGAGAGAAGGUAGCAGUUUCGGCUGUGUUAUAGCUCUCUGCUGGAUACAUCUUGGGGGACUGAGGAACGCAGUGUGCCUUUGGCGGGGGUUUCGACCUCUUCACACUUAGGAUGCUGGUGGAAUGGCUUUAAACGAUCCGUCUUGAAACAACGGACCCA
rnacentral:rRNA from 1 species